rnacentral:tRNA from 1 species
CUUUCUGGUAGCUUAAUGGUAAAGCGUGUGGUUGUUAACCAUUAAAUUAUGAGUUCAAAUCUCAUCCAGAAAGU